UCUGGUGGCGAUAGCGAAGAGGUCACACCCGUUCCCGUACCGAACACGGAAGUUAAGCUCUUUAGCGCCAAUGGUAGUUGGGACUUUGUCCCUGUGAGAGUAGGACGUUGCCAGGC
rnacentral:rRNA from 1 species